AUGUGAGGGUGAUCUGGCUUUGACAUCUGUCACCUCAUUGAUCGCCAAGUUGAUUCAGCUGAUCUGGCUGGCUAGGCAGGUGUCCCCUUCCUCCCUCACUGAU
rnacentral:snRNA from 1 species